rnacentral:rRNA from 1 species
GACGAACGCUGGCGGCGUGCUUAACACAUGCAAGUCGAACGCUGAAGCACCAGCUUGCUGGUGUGGAUGAGUGGCGAACGGGUGAGUAAUACGUGAGUAACCUGCCCUUGACUCUGGGAUAAGCCCGGGAAACUGGGUCUAAUACUGGAUGCUACAUGUCACCGCAUGGUGGUGUGUGGAAAGGGUUUACUGGUCUUGGAUGGGCUCACGGCCUAUCAGCUUGUUGGUGAGGUAAUGGCUCACCAAGGCGACGACGGGUAGCCGGCCUGAGAGGGUGACCAGCCACACUGGGACUGAGACACGGCCCAGACCCCUACGGGAGGCAGCAGUGGGGAAUAUUGCACAAUGGGCGAAAGCCUGAUGCAGCGACGCCGCGUGGGGGAUGACGGCCUUCGGGUUGUAAACCUCUUUCAGCAGGGAAGAAGCCACAAGUGACGGUACCUGCAGAAGAAGCGCCGGCUAACUACGUGCCAGCAGCCGCCGUAA